AGUGAACGCUGGCGGCAGGCCUAACACAUGCAAGUCGAACGGCAGCACAAGAGAGCUUGCUCUCUGGGUGGCGAGUGGCGGACGGGUGAGGAAUGCAUCGGAAUCUGCCCAUUUGUGGGGGAUAACCUCGGGAAACCGGGACUAAUACCGCAUACGACCUACGGGUGAAAGCAGGGGAUCUUCGGACCUUGCGCAGAUGGAUGAGCCGAUGCCGGAUUAGCUAGUUGGAGGGGUAAAGGCCCACCAGGCGACGAUCCGUAGCUGGUCUGAGCGGAUGAUCAGCCACACUGGGACUGAGACACGGCCCUGACUCCUGCGGGAGGCAGGAGUGGGGAAGAUUGGACGAUGGGCGCAAGCCUGAUCAAGCCAAGCCGCGUGUUUGAAGAAGGCAUUCGGGUUGUAAAGAACUUUUGUUGGGAAAGAAAAGCAGCCGGUUAAUACCCGGUUGUCAUGACGGUACCCAAAGAAUAAGCACCGGCUAACUUCGUG
rnacentral:rRNA from 1 species